UACAGAGGUCUCAAGCGUUGUUCGGAUUCAUUGGGCGUAAAGGGUGCGUAGGCGGCGCGGUAAGUCGGGUGUGAAAUCUUGGAGCUUAACUCCGAAACUGCAUUCGAUACUGCCGUGCUUGAGGACUGGAGAGGAGACUGGAAUUUACGGUGUAGCGGUGAAAUGCGUUGAGAUCGUGAGGAACGCCCGCGGCGAAAGCGAGCGCCUGGACCCUUUCUGACGCUGAGACGCGAAAGCCAGGGGAGCGAACGGG
rnacentral:rRNA from 1 species